GGCUGUGUGGCGUAGUGGCUAGAGCUUCAGACUAGGACCUGGAAGACCAGGGUUCAAAUCCUCAUUUGGCCA